rnacentral:lncRNA from 1 species
AUAGAUGAGGAGAGCCAAAUUUCUCACUGUCAGAGUAAGAAGUAUCAGCAUGAACUCAAGUUUGUUUGUUUUUGUGGUACAAUAUACAUAACAUAACAUUUACCCUUUUAACCAUUUUUAACUGUAAAAUUCAGUGGCAUUAAGUACAUUCAUAAUGUUGUGCAACCAUAACCCCUAUCCAUUUCCAGAACUUUUUCUUCAUCCCAAACAGAAACUAUGCAACUGUGAAAUCCCCAUUCCCCACUCUUUCCAGUCUUGCUAACCUCUGUUAUACUUUCUGCCUCUGUGGAUAUGCCUGUUCUAGGUACCUCAUGUAAGUGGAAUCAUGCAAUAUUUAUCCUUGUGUAUCUUGUGUGCCUUGUGUGUCUUGCUUAUUUCACUUAGCAUAAUGCUUUCUAGGUUCAUCCAUGUUGUAGCACGUAUCAGAAUUUCAUUCCUUUUUAAGGCUGAAUAAUAUUCCAUUAUAUAUAUACCACAUUUUGUUUAUCCAUUCAUUUGUCAAUGGACACAUGUUUUUUCAAAUAUAUACAGAUAGCUACAGAAAUAAAUAUAGAAACGUGUGUAUCCAUGUAUUAGUAUACGUACAAGUAUUUCCUGUCUCUGUCUGCUGAGAGAGCCUAGAAGCAAUGACGCUCCAGUAACAAUGAACACACCUAGCACCCAGAUCUUGGUUUAUAAAUACCAUUCUCUAAAAAAAGGAACCAGGGCCCUUUGGAGAAGUGGUAACAUUACAGGCCUUGGGCAGAGAAAAUGUGAGGUGAGCCUGAAGCAUUUUAUGGGGCCAGAGAAUAAGAAAAUGCCUUUAAAAGGUUGAGAGCACGAUAAAAAGGCACAUGAGCCAUCCUAAUGCAGUUCCCAAUAGCCAAAGCUAGAAUAAUUUGGGGAAUAAAAUAAACAAUAAUAGUAGUAAUAUUAAUCUUAGACUAUGACCACAUAACUAUCUGUGACUUCCUACUGAUAUAAAUAAUUUAAUAAAUAAUAAAUGGAAAUGAAAGAAUAGCUCCUCCUUUCAGAAGAAUUCCCACUGAGAGAUGUAGAAAGAAUGAAGGAAGUAGAACAAUCACCAUUAGAACACCACAGUAACAAUUGUUGCAAGCAAGACCACCAGAUGCUAAAGUUAGUGGGCAAAAUUUUGAAGAGAAAGUAGAUAUUUUCAUCAUCUCAAAGCGUCUCUUCCAAG